UAGAAAGUUACCACAAAUUUAAUAUAUUAAAACAACACAAUUCUGUUGUCUUAUAGUUUUGUGGGUUUGAGGUCUAACAUAGGCCUCGGUGGGCUGAAAUCAAGAUUCGGGCAGGGCUGCUUUUGUUUUUGAAAAUUCUAGGAGUAAAAUCCGUUUCCCUGUGUGCUCCAGUUUAUCCAUGAACAUAGCCCACCUGCAUUUCAGAACCAGCAACAGGGCAUCAAAUCUUUCCCAUACUGCUAUUACUCUCUGACCAUAACCAGGAAAUGUCCUCCACUUUUAAGAAUUUAUGUGAUUAGAUUGGGCCCACCGGAUAAUCCGGGAUUAUCUCCCAGUCUCGAGAUCCUUAACCUUAAUAAGUCUGCAAAGUCGCUUUCGUGCUUUCGUUGGGUCAGGUAAAACGUUCUCCUGUUCUGGGGAUUAGGACGUAAACAUCUUUGGGGGCCAUUAUUCCUCCUACCACACUUCUCAGUGCAGUGCUGCAGGUAGUCACUACCAGCGGAUCACAGUUUGACCUGUGGUCUGGGGGACGUCAGAGCUAUCCCUACUUUGGAGAUUCAUCAGGAAAGGAAGAAGAAAAAAAAAGAAAAGCAAAGCUGGUCAGGGGAUAAUGGAAAUCAAAAGAAGACACUUAGCCUCCUGCUAAACACUUUUUGCUUUUGUUUUUCAAUCUACUUGCCAGGAUUCUCCUUGCCACGGCCAGAAGUGGAAGCAGUAAUGUCUGCUCCAGUAGCCGCGGAAAGGGAACAUCCUCUGAAGGUUGCAUUUCUACCAAUGGGAUCCUGGGGUCCCACCUCCGGGCCUCUCAGCUGGGGUCCCCUCACUUGGGAUCCGAGCGCACAGGUCAAGAAGACCUUCAUCUGAUGAAGAUGCUCCUUGCCAAACCAGUAUACUUCUCCAUGGGGCUAGGGGGCUGCAAUCCUAGCCAGGGUCAACUCUUGUUUAUGGAGAAUGGAAAACAGUGGACAGAAGAAGAUUAUCUGUGGAGGUGGAAUGGUGGAUUGCUUCUUCUCUGGGGCCACAUGAGAAGGCAAUUCCUGAGAGAGCAAUCAGACCAGAACAAAGUGCAUUCACCUUCUUGUUAACUGAUCAACAUCUGUUUCCAGAUGUUUCCCUGUGCUGGUUAUAUAGUUUGUGCUCAUUCACAUGCAAAGCCUCUCUCCGUGUAGCUCAGCAGAUGCCAUCAACAGCUCUUCAGUCUGGUAGGGAUAGGCUCUGUCUGCAAGAGUCUCAUAACUGCAACCUAGCAAUGCUGGCACCAAAGUCAGAGUUCGGAACUCACUGCAAAAGGCACCCCCACGGUGCACAGAUGAUGCAGCGGAUCAGUGUCUUUCUCACCAUGGUGACAGCAGUUGACAUGGAAACAGUUGUUCUCGCUUAUAUACAUAAUCAUUGCCCCUCACUCAGGCUUGCCAAAUGUUGAAAAUAUCUGUCUGCCCAGCAUUCAUUUCUUCCAUCUCUAGGAAAUGCACCAAGAUUAUCUUUUGGGAAAUCAUCUGGACUGAACACCCAAACCACUUGUUUUGGAUAUUAUCUGUCCAAACUCAGCAUGUGACCAAUACCUGGUAAAACUGAGCCAUAGGAAUGUGUAACCAAGCCAUUCUGAGCCCAUGAGUGUCAGGUCCAGAUUUUGCUAGAAGGAUUGGGAAAGUGACAGGGUUUUGCCUGACAUUAUAUGCUGAUGGAAAAGAAGCCUGUGGCGGCUGGAAGCUGUCUGUACCACCAGCUGUGUAGAACAUGCUUGAAAAUAAAGAAAAUUUAGAGGAAAAAAAGAGCUGAGGAGCUAAGAGAGACACAAUAUGCUGAUAAAAUAUGAACACCUGCAUGCAGCCUUACUUGAACUUAAAUACACCUUUUGACUUUUCAGUUAUAUGAACCAAUUUUUGCCCCUUUUGCUUAAGGAAGUUUGAGUUAGGCUUCUGUCACUUGCACCCACAAAAGUCCUGAUCAAUAUACAUGUUUUCUCCCUCUGUGGAGAUUUUCAUAGGAAUUGAGCAGAACUAGAGAUACACCUUUGAAAGUUUCAGCAUUUGAACAAUCUACACCUUUCUAGAAGCCCUGCUUCUGGAAAGAUAUCAGUUCAUCGGCACAUGACUAGUUGAUAAUUGCUACCUGCCAAGCAUUGUGUUGGACACCAUGGUGAGGAAGGAAGAAGCCAGCCAGGGGCCCUGUCUUCACAGAGUUUACAGCCUGGGCAGGAAGGCAGCAGUAAUACAAGUUAAAACUUAGAGCAGAAAUUCUCACCUUCAGGACCACAGCACACUGGUGAGUCACCAUAUAUUAUGAGGUAUGCCACAAAGAAUUUGUGACUCAUGAAGCUAAAGUACCAAUGUUGGCAGAUGAUUUAAAAAAUAAACAUGAAUUAGAGUAGA